GGAAAUACAGAUAUUAUUAUUCUCAUAUAUUUCAUGUUUGUUUAAAUUCAACCUGAACAAGCAGACAGUUUGGAAAAUGGGCUACAAUGACCAAAUUUAACCACAGGUUUUCGGUCUCACGCCACUCUUACAUAAUGCACCUUUAAACUGUUGGUAGUUCUCUAUCAAACCUAUGGCAUUUCAAACUAAACAGUGAAAAAAAAUCAUUAAAUCAAUAGCUGUCCCAAAACUAAGCUAAAUUACAUACAUUUCUUGGGAAAGGACCAAAUUGGAUGAAAACAUAUUUUAAUAAAUCACAUAUUUAAAUAUGUGAUUCCUGAGGAUUCUGAGAUAGAAGAAAGCGUUUGUUGUCCACCAUCUAGCAGCACUAAAUGAGCCGAAUGCCACAUUCACACCUAAAGGGUUUUUAAUUUUGUUUCAGCACCACCUCCAACAUAUAAAAUUAUAGAUUAGACAAGCUGAUGGCACAUCGUUUUAAUAUUUAUUCUAUUCCCUUCAGUUUGCUGAUGUGUGUACAUUAAUUUAAACACUUUCUUUGGUCUACAAGUAUUUCCACAUUAUAACCAUUUACAAUUUAGUAAAAGUUUGAGUCAUUUCAAAUUUGAGAAACUCCAAAUAUAUUACACACUUUAUGCGUAGUCUGGUCAAAACAUGCAAAUGUAUAUAUAUACAGACACACAACUGAUAUAUGUGUCUGAAAUUUACAAGUGGAAUACUAGUAUGCAUGUGUAUUUGUUCCUCUGUGGACCAAAAAUACUACCAGGCACAUGAGUUCUUGUCUUUGGAUUUCUUAUUUAGGAUGUAGAAUAGAUACAGAAGAGCUCAUUUCUGUUCUCACCACUGUCCUCAAUCUUUCAAAACAAUCUAAAGGGAAAAUCUAUUUUCUGCAUUUACGUUUUGCUCAAGGAUACACAAAAGACGUUCUGCCACAGUUUAAAACUGUACACAGCAAUCUAGUAUUUUACACAGAUGGAUUAUCUAUUAAAAAACAUGCAAGCAUGCAGCAAUGUACCACAGUAGAACAGCUCAUUUAACUCAGCGAAAGCAUUUAUUUAUAAUGUUAUAGCCCCAGUUUCAUCAUUCUGGUCAUGGCAGUUUUAGGGUUGUACUUGUUUUUUUCCAAGCCUGACUUGUGGCAACUCAUUAUUUUUUUCCUGUAGGAUUUUUCAUCAGAUAAGUCAUAAUCUGUCCAUCUAAAUGAUGCCCAUGACCACAAAACAUUAAAUGUCAGUAACUCUCAUCCACCUUUACAUCUCUAAGAUUCAACACAUUUAUAUCCCAAGCUAGUAACAUUAAAAGAUUGGAGUCUUUUUAGUGUUUUACAUGCAUAAGUUGCAUUUGUGAGUAUGCCUAUCUAGUUAUCUUUUCAGAUUUUGAACACAUGUAUACAUUUUUUUUUUAGUUGGGUUGUUUGUCUCAUUUAAUGCUGACUUAGAGAGUCUGACAAAUGGUUGGCUCAAAGGCUCACAGCCUCUAAAUACCUGAGGAGUUAAUUGGGUCAAACCAAUAGGUACUUUGACGGGGAGGAUGGUUUUUGUCUAGUUUCUUUUCAUUUCAAUAUAUAUAUUUGAUAAUUUUUCCUUAAUGUUUUAGAUUUGUUAACAAGCUAACUACAGCUUUGUUUUACCUUUUUUGUAGCCAAUAUUUGUAUUUUUUAUUUAUUUUUUGUCACCCCUUAUUACCAGGGUAUUAAAUUCUGGUCCUGGAGGGCCAGUAUCCAGCACGUUUUGGGUUUCUGUUCUCCAACACAUUGAUUUAGGGGUUCAAUCACCUGUGCAGCAGCUCAUCAGGCUCUGCUCAAGCCUGUAAAUCAUCUGCUGAUUGACAUCAGGUGUGUCUGGCCCAGAAUUGAAUACCCCUCCCUUUUUGUGUCAAGUAUUUGAUCAGCAUUGAUUACACUCAGGUGUGUCCUUGGCUUGUUCAGUCAGUAGAGUUCUUCUUGUAAAAUAGUAGAACUUUUUUUUUAACAUACUUAAUGAGCUUAAAGAUUUUGUUAAAUAUAGCAACAUUUAAAAGCCCAUCUUUUUUUCAAUUAAUCUUACGAGUUCUCUUGUUUUAACAACGCAGUAUUUCAUAACUAUAUUCAAAUGUGCAGUUAGCUAGAUUGAAAAGUACUUUUCAUUCAGUGAAAAAUGAUGGAGCUUCUACAACGAGUGUAAAAUGAUUUCAUGAAGUUUCCUAAAAUCCAUGAAAGACAAGUUCAAAAUGAACAGUUUUAUAAAUGUCCAACUUCAAGCACUUUUCUACAAUUAUAAAGUAUGCUAAAUUACUAAAGUCUAAUGAUUUUAAUAGUUGUUUUGGGAAACUGACUUAUUUUAUUAUCCAUGUUCUAUUGAUCAUUUGGCACAGAUUCUUUUCUCAUAAGCUGUCAGACUGAUUAAAAGAGUGGAUAAAAGAGUGGAUUGUAUUUAUUUGUGAUCAGUGCUGCAAAAUUUCCAUUUCGUGGAUCUUGCAACAGUUUAUUUUAGUCAUUUAGCAAGAAUUAUAUCCCAUAAUUGUGUUUGUGGAUCAGUGUUAAUUUUGACGAGACAUUUUUAUUCAGUUUUAUCCUUUUGACAAAAACAUUCUUUUUAAUUUUUGUCACAAUUUAGUCAUCCAAUUUCUUUUCAUUUUAGUCUAAUUUUAGUACACUCAAAUUGAAAGCAGUUUUAGUUGUAUUUUUAUUCUGAUGUAAUAGUUUUCAACUUAUGUAAAGGAAAUGUUAAAUUCACAUUUCACAGUAAACUCUAUAUUUAUAAUUGUUUCUAUAAUAAUAAUCACUGGAAUAUUCCAAAAGUAACACUGGCAGUUUAAAAUUGUGUCUGUCAGUAUUAACAAAGUAAACAAAUCUGUAUAUUGUGCAAUUAUAUUUGUAACAUGACAGCAAUGACAUCAUUCCAUCAAAACAUUAAAGUUUUACUGAGGAGGUAAACUAACGGUAAGAAUGGUUUCAAGGUGCAUUUAUUCGUUUUCAUUAGACUAAUUUAUCAAGGUGACACCUGAACGUUUCUCCUCACCAAAACACAGCUAGAACACCGAACUCUGGUCAUAUUGACCGUAGAAGUGUCACAAAAAGAAAAACAAGAUGCACGGCGGGCUGCUUCGUGAGCUCAGGCCAAUUCGCUCAGCUCAGACACCAGCCUUUCCUGCCCCCUGCUCGUUUCUAACACCGUAACACUAUUAAGCCUCAGAAACACAGAAGACAGAUACGCUGCAUCAAAUGCCACAGGUUUGGGAAGUCAGCGGGUCACAUAGGACUCGCUACAAAUACUUUUCAGAUGGUCAUAUUUAAUGUUUUUCCUUCCAGCCUCGGACAUUUAGACAUCAAUAUAUGAUGCCUGGUUACUGCUAGCUUGUUCAAACAGCAGCCGGUUCCGGACUCUUAUUAGUUAUUUUCUCAUCUGGUCUCGCCUGUUUCAUUUACUUAUAGGUCCUUUUUUCCAGACUCCGAUCUUUUCCAUUUUAUGAUUGCAUUUUUGUUUUUGUCGUUUCUUAUUCAUCAACAAAAACGUUGAUAAAUAUUCAUCAUUUCGUUUUCUUUAGUUCUUUGUUGUGCGCAGUGUGACGAGGGUUUGUUUUUACCUUUGCCGACAUGUUUAGACUUCACUGCCAUCUUCGUCAGGGUAACCGCCGGAUUUUGGUGGCGUCACUUCCUUUUAUCCACAGGCAGCAGAGGACGAUAUUGCCCUCUGCUACCCGCGCCCUCUCCGCUGAUCACAGUGUCCCAUAAAUGGUCCAGCGUGUAGACUCCUACUUCCCUGUUCAUGGUCCUGGAUCCACGCCUCCCUAUUUCAACUGCUUCUUUGAUCUAUCCUGAUCGCGGAUGAAAGGAAGUGAUGCCACCAACAUCCGGCGCUUACCCUGACAAAGACGGCAGUGACGCCGAAACAUGGCGGUAAAGGUAAAAACAAACCUAAAGACAGCGAAAUCAGAAAACAAACAUAGUACGAACAUAACAAAGAACAAUGUUCGUCAUAUUUUAGGCUUUUUUGACCUGUGUGUUUUUAUUUCAUUUUAGUCCGCAAAAAUUAAUUUGUUCCCCUCCCCCCCCCAAAAAAAACGAACAAAAUUAACACUGUUGUCGACACUACGUAAAAUAUUAUUAUUCAGGCUGAAGACACAUGAGUUAAAAGUGACUUGCACUUAAGGAUUAACAUGAAUGCUAUGAUUAUAUCAAUAACAUUAGCUGGGAGGCCAAUGUCAACACACAUACUUAGGAUUAUGGAUGUUUAAGGGGCCCCACAAUGAUGGUCCUCUGCUCUUUGCAUGUGCAUAAUGUAUAAGGCUUGAAGAUGGAUAUAAGGCAAUGCAGUUGACGACAUCAUAUUGAUGUGGAUCUCUCAGCAGGUUUAAUGUAUCUAAGUAUUGAUGGUAGAUGUACAGCCUUUUUUGUAACAAGGGAUUUUAGGAGCUCUGCUGUUAGCAUACCUUGUUAGCACACAGCUGCUACUAUGGAUUUACAAUUGAUCACAAGACACUUAGAGACACAUCUACAAUGAAAAGGCUUUGGGAUAGAAAAAUAAAAAAUAAAACGCACUUGCAUCAGGGCUGUUAUUACUUUAGUCCCAGUCAAGAGUGUGUGGUGGUAAAUGCAUUUCACCCUAACACAAUUCUAUGGAUUUAUUGCAAACAGACAAAUGUUUUGUUUAUCCUCCACUCAUGACCCUGUGGUGCUUAGAGGCUUUUUCGUUAGGGAGCGACUCAGUCACAUCCUGAAGGUAACAAUCUGCUGUUUUAUGCGUGAACACGUGUUCAAGGUUGGGGGUGUUGACUCUAAUCCCCACUGAUGCAUAGGAAGCUGUAAAACACACCAGUGCAUGCUUUAAUUCACGGCCACGGUCAUAAUCCGGUCCGGGAAAAUCACAAACAGAUUGGAUGACUAGAGACGACUACAGGGUGGACCAACACCAACUGGGAAUUUAUUGGAUUGCUGCCAAGGAUAAACACACCCCACCUUAUCCGAGAAUAUAGUGAUAAAGUGACUUGUGGAGUUUGGAUGUAAUAUCUGUUACGACCCCUCCCUUCCAACCGGGAGCAAUUCUGAAGUGAAACGGGAGCAAAAGCGCUCCAUGCCGCUGGUCCUGUGAGGUCACAAAAUCACAGGAGAAGUGCAACACCACAUGUGAUUUUAGAAGUUACAAGCAGUUAUGGUUACAACCAAAUAGGUCUGGUUUAUAUUCUGUACCAUUUUGCUCAGCUAUGGGGAGCUGCAUGUGACUUUUAUUUUGAAGGUUGCUGGAUGUUUGUUUGACUUCCUGUCUGGCCCAACCUAAAUUGCGAAGUUUGGCAUGUUUAGGAAGCGUAGUGCAUCCAAAAUAGACUUGAAAUGUAAUGAUAGCAUCCCUAUUCUGGGAUGUGUCUAAAACGUUGCUGCUGGUGGAAAAGAACUUGUCCACUAUCCACACCUGUCCACUAUAACAGAGGCUAAUUGCUUCAUAGUACAUUUUGCGGCCAUUUUGCAAUGAUUACACAUCUGAUGGAAGGAAGGUUGAGGGCCAGGAGUGUGUUUCAUCUUUUGGCAUUUUAUGGUGGUUGGCAAUCAACGUCAGGUGCAUAACCACCAUCUACCGAUCUGGGGUUUGGACUGGCACUUCUCUCGUAUCUCUCCUCUUAAAUGCUCCUCCCCACCACCCCCACGUCACCCAGAAACCUCAACACUUCUCUAAUACACUCAUCACUUGCCCCGCUUUUAACAUUUCUCUCACUUCCAGCCUGCACCCCUCUCUUCUUAAUGUUCUCUCCAGCCCAGACUUACUCUACACACCUGUGACCCAUUCAUUAAUUAGCUCACCUGCUUCUUAUUCAGUAAUCGUCCCUUUUCAUUUAAAGAGCAAGUAACGUCUAAAUUAACUUUUUUUGCUGAUGAACUGUAUAAAUGAGUGUCUAAUAGUGUUUUAAAUGUGUGCAUUCUUUAUUUUAGCAUUUUGGUGCAUUUUCUUUAAAAAUUAAAAAUUCUGUCUAAAAACCACAGUAAUGCGCCACCUUCAGCUGAAAACAUAGAAUUUGAGUCAUUUUGAAUAAAUUUUAGCCAAUGGCUAAAGAGUAAAGUACUACGUAAACCAGUAGAGUACUACGUAGCAGCUCCGUGCCAAAGUUAUAAAAGCAACGAGCGUCUCGGCCACGCCCUGUGGCGAGUGGGAGUUGGAUUUGCAAGCGAGUGUAGGAGGUCAGCGGUAGUUCAGCAUUAGCGUAUAGCAUUAGCAUAUCCUAGUCUUUAGCAUAUCUUUUAGUGUUAUAAAUACUUAUUUAGUGUUAGCUUGGCUGUUGUAUAUUAUAGUUUAGUUAGUGUUUGGCUGUUAAUGUAAUUGGGAAAGUAGUUCGGGUUUAGUGUUCCAUAUCGUCUUAGUAUUGGUGAGUAGGUGUAGUGUAGUAUGGUUGCGGUGACUCUGUGGGCAUUUUACCCGCGAUUCUGCACGUCUCCGUUUGAAGAGGGAGGCUGUGCCCACCGUGGCUCUUCCGCGAUUUGGAUGCAGCCCACCGACUCUGCUCCCCCACCACGGCGGGCUCCAGUCUGAGGUGAGUCAGCUAAAUAAACGUUUUAACAUCUUCUAAAGACAAUUCCCUACCUAAAUGCAAAGUCUGAGAGACGUGGUUCACUUCCUUUAGCUAGUCAGUCGGCAAUUCUGCAACAGUGACUAACUGACGCAGCACUUGUUGACAGCAUUACAGCGUGAAAUCCAGCUUGUGACCCGGUUCUGUGAGGAAUUCUGUUCAGGAGGUCACAUUUCAGGCUCUCCACAUCAUAUGUGACUGACUUUUACGUUAUAACAACGAUCACACACUAGGAAUGUUAUAAAGCGCCUAUAUAGGAGAUUCUUUUGUAUAUUAUCUGACUAUAAACUCCAACAACAAUGUGCUUCUAUUUUUUUUUUUCAGGCUAAAUCUACCCAAGACACUGGCUGUCAGACUGAUUUAGCUGCAUGAAUGUACUUGUCCAGGCUGAUGUGAAACCUUCCCUGUAGCAAAGCCAGCCAGAAUGGAGUUCACAGCCGCAGUGUGUCUGGUGACCCACGGGGACCAUGAUGAAAAUUCAUCUUCCAGAAGGUCCCAGAGCGUCCAGACCCCCUGAAAAGACCAAGGUGUGAGGUGUCUGCUGUUGAUUCCAGCUUCCACCUCAGUGACAGUGCAAGCUCAGUGAACUGUUCAAGCCUGGCUGAUCACCUGAUAACUCCUGUCAUCUGGUUAUGACAGCAUGAGGAUGUCCUCACACACCUGUAACCUAUCAGCUCAUCUGGCAGAAUAGAGAGAGAAGAGACAACACCACAUCUCCUGUUCCUGGAAAGCCUUCAGCCUUCCUUCGAUGACUGAGAACCUCCAUCAGCUCUGUCUCCUGUCUGCCUACAAUUAUUAUAAUAAAUAUUGUGUUUGACAAGUUUUUUGUGCUGCCAAAUAUCUCAUUUAGAUUCCAGUUUUGAUAUUUUAAUGGAUAUUUAUAAAUUACAUUGAAUAUCACAUUUUUGUUGCAUGUUUAACUAGCUAUUGUGAUUAAUUAAACUAGCACCUCACUGUUAAAAGCUCGUUCUAAUUUCAAGCAUGUUUAAGUAUUUAUGGACAUGAACAAAAACAGGAAAUAUAUAAAUUGAGAUUUAUUUAAUUAAUAUAACAAAUAAGGGGGAAAGAGUCAUUGAAAGGCACAUUCUUCUGGAAGUUCCUGAUCCUGAGGACACCAGCAGAGGAGACCAGCUGCAGACACCAGAGACCAGCUGCAGACACCAGAGGACCUAGAACCGAGAGAGCAGCUGUUAUUAGUAAAUAAAUAAAGAAAUCAGGGCAGUUUUAGUGGGCUGAACACAUUACAGAAUAAUUUUCUCAUGGGGUAUUUUCAUAACUUUAUAUGCAGCAGACUGUACCUUGAGCCCAGGGCUACCGGAGAGCUAUCCAGCAUGUUUCAGUGGAUUUUCCUGCUUUAACAGGUUAGAUUAGCUGUUAAGCAGCUCAGCUAUUUGUUGCUGAUUAAAACCAGGUGUGCUGAAGCAGAUAAACCUCUAAAACAUGCUGAAUACUAGCUUUUUGGGGCCGUGGAGACAAACCCUGCAGCUAAUCCAAUGCUAUGGCUAACGGCUACUUACCUUUCAGAGGUGAUUCUGUUGGGUCGGUUCUGGGAGUUUCAGGCAACUCACAAGCUCAAAACAAUAAGACUCAGGUCCGCUUGUCUCCUCCAAAUAGACUUGGUCCCUUUCUUCUCGAGUGUCUGUAAGGAGGGGGAGAAACGUCCUCCACUUCUAUCAACUGCUCAGAGUGAAGGGAGCUAGCUUCGUCUAGUUAGCCAUCGUCUUCGUCACUGCCGCGGCUCCGCCCUCUCGGUCCUCCAGGCAACGCCUACUAAUGUUGCAUUUUUUAAAAUUGAUACGUGGGUGGAGAAGGACUCCGAGGCUCAAUUGACCCGCUCUUUAAGUCAGCUUUAUCUUUGUGUUUCCUGCUGUUUUCCUUCUCUGGUUGAGCGUGUGCAUUUUUUUUUGUUGAUGUGCUGUCAUGUUAGUCGGUUCACUGUAUUAAAGGGUUUCAUUAUCUGUGAUUUGUCUCAAAACCUGUGAUUUGGGUACUCUACUUGCUGUUUUAUGACAGUUUGAUAAUUCUCAAGGUGAUGAUGCACAAAGAGAAAUGUGAUAGACUGUUACAAAGAUACUUUUCUAACUAUAAGCUAAGGAAACUUCUUGUCUCUUUUUUCUUCUUUUUUUGUGUGAGUGUCAUCCCUUGACAUAUCAGCUUAGAUGAAAUGUCAGAUCAGAGGCAAAACACUCUGCAAUCCAAACUCACUGACACACUUUCUGAGAACCUGCUUAUUACCAAAGAGUGUCAUGAGGAGGGAUCUCCAGAUAAGUUGCCAAUGUAUCACUGGGCCACGUAUUUGAACCAGACUGAUUGUUCCAGACUGAAAUUUGGUAUGCAGUCGUGAUUCAAUAAAAACACAGAUAAAUAAUGAGACUAUUCGGCACUUACCCCCAAAUUCCACUACCUCCGCUCCGGUCCGCCCCCGCCUUCCGCAGCCGCUGGCUUCCGAACUCAAUUUUUACUGGUACCCGCUCUACAACGACUCCGCUCCGGUGCGGAGACCUGAGGUGGGCAAACAAGCAUGCGCGGGAUUUUCGAGAUCUUGCGAUACAGUCCGAGCAAUAAACGCGGAAGUUAGAUCCAAACACCCGUUGUGUGGGAGAAGCAUCAGCAUGAACUGUUUUAAUCUGACCAUCAUUUGUGUUGAGAGAUCAGCAGUGUUUGGAUCAACAAAGUGUGACUACUUUGAUAGUAGAAACUGUAUUUAUGGCUUACUUUUGUGCAUUUAAAGUUCAGCCGCCUUUGAUAGUUGUUAAAAGUUGUUAAACCUGCGCAUAUGAAACAAAAAACGCCUUUUGUUUAUCGAUUUAUUGUGAAAAACGGAAGUUAUGUUUGCUCCUUUUCCUGUUGGACGGUUGUGAUUUCUGUCCAUUUACUGCGGAGGUGCUCCGGCAUCCGGCGAAAAUAGGAUCGAUUCUAUUUUUGCCGGACGCCGGAACAGAGGGCGGCGCACGGCACCGCACUGCUGGAGCACGGCCGGAGCACGGCCGCAGUAGUGGAAUUGCUCUGAUUGACUACAACGGGACCGAUUUUGCUCCGGCGUUCGUGUCGGAGCGGAGCGGAGGUAGUGGAAUUUGGGGGUAAGUCCACUCAUAGGUGCAAUGCAGAACAAAGUAAACAUGCGUCUUUUAGGUCUGUAAGAGGAAACUAGGGUACCUGCAGAGAACCCAAGUAUGCGGAAGGAGAAAAUGCAAACUUCACACUGAAACACCACAGCUGGAAUUUGAACCUUCAGUCUUCUUGCUGCAAGGCAACAGUCUUACCUACUGCACGCCUACUUCACACCUACUGAAAUGCAUUGACCGUUAUGUCGGUGUAUUGUUGUACAAAGAGGUGCAUAUCUAAACAUGUGCUUAGCAAGUUUUGUUCAACAAAUGCAUCAAGUUGUUAUCAAUGCAAUCAGUUCCUAUACUUUCAGUUAAAUUGAAUCUUCAUCUACAUUCCCGUUUUCAUUUUGUAACUUAAGGGUUUGGUGCCCUAAUUUGACCUGCAAUCAUUUUUCACAUAUAAACAAACUUGCAUUUCAUGGGAAGAUGUAUUUAUGAAUUUCUUUCAACCAUAAGCCCUUUUUAGAAGACACCGUGCCAGCAAAUCAGCUUAAUGCCGCCACCACAGUGUGUAUUAUGAACGUGGCAUGGUGUUGCAGGACAUGCCACCACUCUUUUUAGUAAUAUUCCCGCAACGCCAGACUUGUGAAUGCAUUUUACGCCUUGGCACAACAGAGUGAGGUGUCAGGAUCAGGUGUGGAGCUGGUGCCGAGCUCCGGCCGGCUAUAAUUCUUAAAAAUAAAAUUAUACAUGGGCUGUAGGUAUUGCUUAUAGCUGAGAUGAUAAACUGGAGCGAUGCAGAUUUCCCAGAGCUGGAGCUCAGAUCACCAGAGACUGCACAGGGACUGUGAGAGAAAGCCACCUUUAGGAGCAGCUAGUUAAAUAAAAACUUAAUGAGCACAGUAAAAAGCAAGUUAGGUCCAAGUGAAAUGUACAAACGUGGCAAUGCCGACUGCCCCAUACCCCUUUUUUACCUCCAUUGCAUAAACUUUUGUAAAAAGGACACAAUUGCAUUUGCACCACAUUACCGCCACAGUCUGACCACUCACAAAUGACCUAAGGCUCCCUGAUGCCAGCUCAGCAUUUCAGCAAAUUGGUGGCAUUGUUUUCUAAAACAAGCUAUAGAUUCAAGUAUCAUAUAAUUUAGGAGCGUAAAAAUUGUAAAACAUCGUACAUUCAUUUUGAAUUAUCUACAUGUAUGUCUCAUAAAGAAACAUAAAUGUGGUAUACAUUUUUCAAAUGGCAGCUUCCAAGCAUUCAUCUGAUCAAAAACACAACUCAUUGAUACAUGUAUUUAAGUCUGUUUCCAGUGAAAAGAAAACAUUUGGGUUCAUUGAACAAUUUAAUAAGUGAACUUAAUUUCUUAACUUUACCCUUCUCUAACAUAAUCUGAGUCCUAUCACUGUGGGAGGUUAAAGGCGUCUCCCUGAACAUGAGGCGUUUGGGUAUGAUGGACUUUACUGUGAGUGUGUGGCUCAUUGGUACAAGGUUAAGUGAGUAUCUGCUGGUCUCAGAACAUAUGGCCAUUAGGCUUAAAGAGUGCCAGCGCAUGGUGGCAGGUGGAGGCCAUUACAAUUUAUCUAACAGAACCUCAUAACAUAACAUGUGAUGGUCAACAGAAGUCUCACAAAAGGGGCCAGACGGCGCAGCUCUGAUUGGAUUAACCUUCAGACAGACACAACAAUCCUGUUUCCAUAUAGAUUGGUUUUGGACUCCCUGCUGUCUGAUUCUAAUCUGACUUUCAUUUCAAUAUGCUUGCAUAAUUUCCUCAAGUGGAAGUUUCAUAAAGGAGAAUAGGUGUCUCUAAACCAGUAGAGGAUGUUACCCAUGUGUUUCGAGGUGAUCCAGGAAACAGACAGAUCUUCCCCUAAUUACAUACACUCCAAAAAAAAAUGGCACCAGCUAAAACUGUUGUAUAAGAUUUAGCUAAAAUGUAUAAAAUCCAAACUGUUAUUUAACAAAAUAGUUCCAACUAAAAUCAAAUGUACUAAGUGUUAACCUAAACUCGGCCUCUUUAGUAAACCAUGCUUUAUCAAAUCACCUUUUUCGGACUUUUAAAUAAUUUUCUAGGAUGCAGCAAAUCUCCAGUCAUUUGUGCUUCUUUCCAGCUGAAGAAGAAUAAAGAACACGUUCAUUCACCCCGCAAAAAAAAAAAAAAAAAUCUUGAACAUAGUUUUUACCAUCUAAAAUGUGUAUAGAAGAUUUAACUAAAAUUUAUAAAAUCACAAUUGAUAUUAAUUAAAACGGUUUAACACAAGUCAAAUAAACAUGAACAUCAGAACAGGUUACCUUAAUAGUGGAUCUUUUAUUGACUUUGUAGUGUAAUAAACUAACAUGUAAAAUUUACUUGUAAUUAAAUUACAUAAAAUCUACGUUUUCAGCCAACCUUUUUUUUAGUGUACUGGCUCCAUGUCAACACAUGAUACAGUAUUUAUAGCUCUGUUUUUAUUUAGAUUUGUGUUUUUUGUUUCUGAUUCUUGUCAUUGUUUCUGUUAGAUAUGCUAACUAUUGUUUCUUGAGCCAGAUGUGCUGACAGAUGCUAUCAUCUUGGUCCAGAGGAAGAAGACAGAUGACCUGUCUUUAAUAACUGAAGCGGAGAAACUGUAUUUGUUUAUUUAGUUGGUAACUCCGGUUCUAUAUUUGCAUUUUUUACUUGUAAUUUUUACUCCAGCUUCCUGCAUCAUAUUGUAUUAUAUGAAAUAUUGUGUAUAGUGUCUCUUGCUGAAUAUUUAGGACUGAAAGAAACAUUUUAGGUUUUUAAGGUAAUAGGCUGGGCUCUGGGUGGUCAAAUAUGACAAAAUCAAACAGAAAGUAAACCCUACAUUACCUUAAAUACAGCUCAAGAAGCCCACUUGAAAAUUUAUUUGAACACAAACACAAGAAAGCAUUUCCCAAGUCCCCGUGGAGCUGGAUCUUUAUGACGCAGUCUUUCAGCAUUCUUUCUGGACCCUUUGCCAACAUUGCAAUUAAAACACAGCUUGCUUUAUUUACAAGACCAUCUCAUUUAAUUAAUCCUCGUACAGCUCAACAGCCCGGGCACACCAUAAGAAAAGAACUGCUGCUUUGCUUAAUUACAGCAGAAAGGAAAUUUUAAUAAAGCUAACAGAAGAACUCCACACACAACCAGGAAGCCAUUAAUUAGAUGAAGGUAUUCCUGCAGGAAUGGAAGUAAAAUCAGCUGUGAAACAGAAACCAACAACACAGCCACGGGCUUUAAACUGACUUUUGAUUUCAGAUUAAAGAUUCACUGAAGAGAAUGAAGGCAUAUCAGGGCCACUCAGAAAGAAAAAAAAAUAAUUUAAUUUUGCCCAGAUUUAAAAAUGAAUUAUUAAUGAAUUGUUUAAAAUAAAAUUAAAACUGUAUUCCCUCAAUUCCCAAAAUAACAGCAGCAACUCAUAAGUUAAUUAAUCAUAUGUGAUGAAUGAAUAAGAUGUUUACAUGAAAUGUUUGAAUAGUCUGUGGUUAAAUCAAUGAAUUUGAAAUGAAUAUUGUUCUUACAAUGAUCCAUUUAUAUCACAAAUCACUAUGUGCUUGAUUUAACAAGUUAAUCAUUAUCUAUACUUAUACACAUCUUCAUAAGAUACAAAUCAAGCUUAAGGUUCACCUCACAUAACAUUUAAAGAUUCUUUAUUUACAGAAUUAAGAAGCUUGUAUCUGAAGGAAGGAGUGGCUUUCUGAGGAAUGUUUUGGUAAAGCCUUCCAGACAUGGCACAUUGUGAUUUGCCAGAAUGGCCAGAAAUAAUAAUAUUGUGGUUUAUUAAAACAUGAUUUACUUCCCAAUUAAUUCAGUUUACAGCUGAAACCGGAUUCGGCCAAAUCGGGAAUAAGCCUCUUUUGAAACAUCUCUUUCGACAUACAGUCAGCCUGUUUGCUCACUGCAAGCUGACACAGCCAGACAGCUCCCUAAGUGCCACAUCCUCUUUGGAUGCAAACAAGCCUUCCAGCUACCCUUGUGACCUGGAAACAUCUCAAGAUUGGACGGGUCGUAUCAGAUUUAUUCUACGAAAUCCCGGUGCCGUGACGUCCACCCGACUUCUGACAGUCUGGAUCUGCUGGGGGUCUCCGCCGAGGUUUGCAGACACAACAGAUUGCGUCUGAUGCUGUUUUAUUAAUAAUCAACUCUCUAGUUUAUAGCAGACAAUAAAUUCUUUCACACGCAGAUUUCACAAUUUAUUUCAGAUACAAAGAUUCUGAUAAACAUCUUGCUUACAUCACACCACCUAUACAUCACACUCUAUCACCACAUAUCCUCUCCAUCACAUCUCCUUAUUCAUGUCUUGUCAUGUAUAAUCAUUAGUUUAGACAAGAAUAAAAUUCUUUUUUAACUAUAUACCUGACUCUGUCUGAAUUAAUACGAAGUGUGUUUGUGGUCCCUGCACAAGCAAAGAACCCUAGAAUCUUCUGAUUAAACAUUCAAAGAUGAAUCAGAUUGAUAUUUCAUAUUUAUAUGGAAUAAUCACACCUUAUUGGUCAUAAUUAAUUAGCAGUCGUCACGCAAUAAAGAGUGACCGCUACAUAAGUGGCGAGCCCAGUACAGUCUUAUUCAAAUCAUUUUACACUUCAUGUUUUUUUCUGACUCAUUUAAUACAUUAAACAGUUGUUCUGCUGAAAUGGAACGGGGCUUCCCAUUUGCUUACCUUCAGGGGUGCUGUCCCUAUCUCUCACCCAACUCUGUGUCUGCACUAAGCUGCAUAUAUUACUGUUUGUUGUUAAAAGUGAGUGUGUGUUCAUUCUAUCUCAUUAUUUUACACGUACGUAAUGCUUGUGUAACUGGAAGACAGAUAAAUCCUGUUUUCCGACGUUACCACAAAGCUACAAUCCUAAUCCUGGCCAGGUCAGCUGAGAUUAAAACUACGUUUCAACGCCAAAUUCCGGACAUAAUUCUGAAGUUCAUACCGGAGAUAUUACCUUUUUGGUUAAUAUUCCAGACAUCACGUCUGAAGCUGUGUUCGUUUUAGCUACACAGACGCGCAUUUCUUAUCCCCGCACAUAGUCACCGCCACAACCUUUAGCUCUGAUUACAGCACGCAUUCACUGUGGAGUUUCAAUAAGCUUCUGCCAUCUCACAAGAUUUAUUUCCAUCCAGUGCUGCAUUAAUUUGUCACCUAGGUCUUGCAUUGAUGAUGGUAUCGUCUGACCACUGCACAAAGCCUUCUCCAGCACAUCCCAAAGAUUCUCAAUGGGAUUAAGGUCUGGACUCUGUGGUGGCCAAUCAAUGUGUGAAAAUUAUGUCUCAUGCUCCCUGAACCACUCGUUCACUAUCUGAGCCCGAUGGAUCCUGGCAUUGUCAACUUGGAAUAUGCCCGUGCCGUCAGGGGAGAAAAACCUUGUCAGUCAGCUGACAUCAUUCUUGGAGCACAUCAUGCUGCUGAACCUAGACCUGACAAACUGCAGCAGCCCCAGAUCAUAGCACUGCCACCACAGAUAGGCACUAGGCAUGAUGGGUGCAUCACUUCAUCUGCCUCUCUUCUUACUCUGGUGCGCCAUCACUCUGGAACAGGGUCCGUCUGGGCUCAUCAGACCAGUCUUAUUAAUGCGUUGGACAGUUCUUAACCCAGUUCUAGUCGUUUCUGCAUCUCCUUAGAUGUUUUCUCAAACAUCUUUUCCACGACCACAUUUGUCUUUGCACAUGGUUGUUUAAAGAGCAAGUCACCCCCAAAUCGACAUUUUUUGGCUGAUAAACUUUAUAAACGAGUGUCUAAUCAUGCUGUAGACACUUGUAGUCAGUAAUUUGGCACUUUAGUGCAUCCUAGUUUAAAUUUAAAUAUUCUGCCUAAAAUUGUCAGUGUUGUGCCAUUGGCAAAGAUGUACACAAUAAUGUUAGCUGUUUCAUUAUGAUGUCAUAAUGUGGUUGUGAGCCUGUGGCUGUGUCUCAAUUCAGGGUCUGCAUCCUUCGUCGGCCGGAUUCGUCGGCCGGUUACGUCACAGCGCCGCGACAAGGCCUGUUCCAAUUCGAAGACUCCUUCAAAUGCGGUCGACGAAUCCGGCCUUCUUUUCGCCUUGAAUGAAGGAUGGGUCCGGUGUAUCCUUCAAUGGUUUACAUUUCCCAAGAUGCCUUGCGGGCCGGAUGGUAGAACUUUUAAAAACAAUGGCGGACAGUGAAGCGGGAGCUGUCGGAGAGGAUUGCGCAUAUAAAUGUCAGUAUAAACUUGAAAACUGUUAGGUUAAGGGCUUUUUGUGAUACAUGAACGUUAUUUUAGUUUGAAAUGUUACAGUAAAAGUGCUUGUAUUGCGGUCUCGGCUCGUAUGUUCGGCCGUUCGGUGUCGUACUUCUCCCGCUACGUUUUCCCCCUGAUUUUAAUAGAAGUUUAUAUUUCAAUCAAUAUAUUUUAGCGACAUAAGAGAAAACCACGGACUUUAUUAAGCUUAGGGCAGAGAUGGAGGGCGGAGAUGGACCACAUGUUCACUGGAGCAAAGUGUUCGGCGGCUGUGGCAUGGAGACUAUUCUGGAGAAAAUGGGCAUCCAGGGGAAGGUGACAGUGAUGACCAGCUUCUGGAGCUGAUCAGGGAGGACAUGAGGCUGCAGAGGGAGGCAGAGCAGCAGAGGGCACAGGAGAGAAGGGAGAACUUUGACAGGCUUUUUACUUUGCUAGAAAAAAUGGUUAAGGAAGAUUAAUCAUGUACAUAUAAAAGAAAUAUAUAAAUACAAUCAGUUCUGCAUUAAACACUUGAAUUUUAUUUUUGUUUACAAAUGUGAAUUGUUUAAUAUUACAGGGUAUUCGCUGGGUCUUGAAAAGUCUUAAAAGGUGAUAAAUCGGUUUUGGUCAAAUUAAGACCCUUAGAAAGUAUUAAAAACUAUUAUCACAUCUUUGCUCAGGCUCAGCUUGCUGAAAGUAUUUUCUCUGAAUUAGCUCUCCAACAGUCAAGGAAAUGAUAAAAAAGCUAAAUAAAACUUCGAGCUCCAUUGUUUAAAGUUCCUUCUCCCUUCGGCUCAGUGGUUCCAUGGUUGCAAGGCGACGGAACGUUCGCAAGGGAGUGGCGGGAAUUCAUUACGGCUAGGCCUGUCCAAAUUCACAGUCGUUAACAUCCGGUCUACUAGGACGACGGAGGACGCAGCCCACGUCGGCCGAGUAGGCUGGGUCCUUCGAAGGAUGCAGACCCUGAAUUGAGACACUGCAUGUGUGUGUGUGUGUGUGUGUGUGUGUGUGUGUGUGUGUGUGUGUGUGUGUGUGUGUGUGUGUGUGUGUGUGUGUGUGUGUGUGUGUGUGUGUGUGUGUGUGUGUGUGUGUGUGUGUGUGUAUUUGUAGCGGCUCCGCCUUCUUGGUCUGCCAGGCAACAGCAUUUGUUGCAUUUUUCAAACAGGAAGUGGGAGUGGAGUAAGACUCUGGUAGGGGGUGACUUGCUUUUUAACAAAUGAGAAACAACUCAUUGCACAAGUUGGGGUAUAUUACUUGUUGCCAGCUGAAAGAUAAUUGCCCUUGCAGUGAUUAUCCAAUACCUGUUUGCUCAUCCCGAAAAAAGUAGCCACCUGGAUUUAACUACGCAAUUUAUUUAAAGUUUGUUGAGAGCUCCAUGUGUAAAUUUAAUCUUUUGUAUUUUUUUAUAUUAAAACCUAUUAACUACGCAAUUUAUUUAAAGUUUGUUGAGAGCUCCAUGUGUAAAUUUAAUCUUUUGUAUUUUUUUAUAUUAAAACCUAUCUUGAAGUAUAAAGUCAUCAUAGUUCAUUUACAUAAGACAUAAUUUGUGUUUUUCCAGCACACACUGUGGGUCAAACUAGAUAUGGUUUUUGUGCAAGAGCUGAUCUGUUCAGUGAUUUAUUUUCUUUUAUUCUUUAAUUUACAAUUUUGUGAGAAGUUCACUUUAUUCUGGAAAUGCUGUUUGAUAUUUGUUUUCUUAGCAAUUAAAUUUUAAUAACAAAACUACCUUUUUUAUUCUUUUUCCUUUUCAGGCCUAUUUUAAUCAGCAAUCUCAUACUGAAAUAUUGUGAACUUUGCUUUUUGUAAAUGAAGCUUGUUAAAGCAUCUACCCUGCUUCUGCAGCUGUCUGCUGGGUGAACAGCGUCCAGGCCUCACACAAUAAAUGAGGAUUUAUAUAUGAAUUCUGAUGACAUGAUUUAAAUGGAUGUGGCCCAGGCUCAGCCUAGGUUCUUACCAUAGAACAACCAUUCACACACAGCAGAAAGCCACUGUGUAGCAAGGCAAUCAUCAUCGUUUUCAAUGUGAGUUGUGCUUUGGCCCUCAGAAUAACAUUCUGACAAUGGCAGGUUUCAGCUCAUUCUCUGUAAUGCCAUUUUCCAAGCGUGAACGCCAAACUUGCUGUGAGCGUAGCUUAUUAGAGACAACUAAAACAAAGAAAAAUAUGUAAGAAUAGGCUGAUUGCUGAAGGCGCAGUGCCAUUUUUGUCUCACAGCUCUGCCAAAAAGUCACUGAGUCAUUAUAUGUAAAUGUAUUGCUCUGAAUCACAGCUGAGACUUACCAAUCUAACACAGACACAAUAACAAAUAAAAUGACAAAGCUUUGUGUUAAAGUGGGUUACGGACUCUUUUUGUUUAGUUUGAUGUUUUGUUUUUUUGCCCUUUAUAUCAACACUUUUUAUAAAAAAGUUUUUUUUUUAUUAGACAACAUAUAAAACAGUGGAAACUAUAAAACUGAAGAUUUCAAAUAAUCAAAAGAUUUAAAUAUUCACUUUUAUUUCUUUGAGAUUGAAGGACACUGGUGAAUAAAUUAACUUGUAGACAAACAUGUUCUUGUGUCAACAUUCAUUCUGAUCAAUUCCUGUGACUUGCAACAUUUAUACUGCAGACUGUCAUGUCCUGUGUCCUGUCCAUGUCCUCCCUGUCCCUUCCAUACCCCAUCUCCCUUGCCCCUGGUCCUCCCAGACUUCAUUCAGCUUUCUCACAUCAUUUACUGUUUUAAUUGUUGCAAUCAUACUGAAAUAGUACAACUUUAGCUAAAUGUUUGGGGCUAGCAGGUCAUCCAACUUUUUAGCACAUUUUAGUUAAAACAUAUUUUUAAAGCAAACACUAAAGAGACAAAUAUCCUAAACAAAAUAUUCCACGCAAAAAAUGUUUGAAUGAAAGUUUAAACAUUACCUGACAUUAUUAUUAUUAUUAUUAUUAUUAUUAUUAUUAUUACACUAAUGCUAUUAUUGCUACAACUUUAAAAUUUAAUAACCCUUUUGACUCAAAUGAAAAUAAAAAUGGCUUUCCACAGGGCUCCUUUUUUAUGGUGCCAAUGUUAAAGUUACCAGCAAACCUCAUCUGACAGUCUUACAAAGGUUGGAGCAAAUAUUUUUGUCAUAUUUCAGUCAAAGUUGGCUCACUCACGCCUCGGUUUGUUCAUGAUAAACGUUCAUUCCAUUCACAAAUUGGUUGCCAUCCCAAAGUUUUUUCACAUUUCUCUCACUUUCUCACUAAAGCUAAAUUUAGAGAUUUCCAGAUGCACAGCACACGUGGAACCAUUAUAAGAGUAAGGAUCACCAGUAUGUCACUAAUAUACAAUCAUUUUAAUAUCUGAACACGUUAAUAUGUUAAUAUGAAGAAAAGUUUGGUUUACUGUAGGCUGUUGCAACUCAUCAGUUUUCCAGAAAUCAAAGAUUUCAGUAGGUCUGAUUUACCUGAGAUAAUGUCGUUAUAAGAACUUUAUUCUAGCUGAGCAGCCUAUUUGGUGCCAUUUAUUGUUAAAGCAGGGGAGUUAUAGUAGACAAAGAAGAAAGCAGACUGGAAAUCAAUGAAAGUGCAUGCAGUGCCAUGGUCACAGGUGGAAAAUUGCAGGAAACAAAACCCAGCUCAGUCAGAGAGAGCGUGAGAACCUGGAAAAGGUAAAAGGUUUGCCUACUGUCAUGAACAGGGUCUGACGUGUUCCAAAAAAUCUUUUUAUUUUGGUAAAUAAAACUAAAUCACAACAGAAAAACAAGAUUUUCAAAAUGAAAACAUUAUAGAGCAGAAUAUCAGCUAAUUUGAAGUUCCAUUUGUUCCACCAUAACAAACAUAAAGGAUGUCGGAUUUUCAUAAAAGCAGCAAACGAGAAGCAAACUGACAUUUGAUGGGAUUUUCAGAGAAACAGGAAAUAUAAAUAUACAAGUACGUAAGGGGUCUUUCUAUUCCUGGUAUGGCUCAGAGGAAGUGAAUGCAGAAGUUCUUAUAAUGAAGAACGCAGGAACUUUUUUCAAUAGAAACAUGGUUUAAUUUUAUUUCGAACAAAAAAUCAAAGAAGGUAGAAUACAAAUGACCAAACCAAAGUCACUUUGAAUUCAGACACGUAUGUGGGAUCAGCUUUACCUAGCACUCUGUCUGAGGCCCAGUACCAAUACUCGCACUGACCCUACAGUCUUCAGCAGAGUGCACUUGGAGGAAGUGUGCAGUAAGGCUUCGAGUGCGUAGUGCACAAGUGAGCAAAUAAUUGCCAAAUUGGGACAGCGAACAUUGUGUCAUCGACCACAAAGCAUGCUGGUCACUGUUUGUGCUAUUGUUUCAAAAAUCUUUAUUAACUUUAAAACAAUUUCUUGACAACAUUUACAUUAACUGCUGUCCACAUUAAAUCUUAGCCUAAAUCAUUCAAAUCAUGAAUAAAUAUCAUUAAUCGUCUUAAAAUUAACUUUUUUUUAAACAUCUUUUCACUUGACGGCACUUGAGCCAUUGUUUUGCCUUCUUCUCAAAAUUCCCACGCAGCAUUGGAUUGUGGAAAAGUGCAGAUCAAUGUAGUCAACUUCUGCACUUGAGGAAUGGGACACCCAACGCACUUGCACCCUGGAUUGGAAUACACAAUUCAAGGGUGGAAGUGUAAGUAUUGGGAUUGGGCCAGAGUUGUGACACUU